AUUGAACGCUGGCGGCAGGCCUAACACAUGCAAGUCGAACGAGUGGCGGACGGGUGAGUAAUGUCUGGGAAACUGCCUGGUGGAGGGGGAUAACUACUGGAAACGGUAGCUAAUACCGCAUACCAUCAGAUGUGCCCAGAUGGGAUUAGCUAGUUGGUGGGGUAACGGCUCACCAAGGCGACGAUCCCUAGCUGGUCUGAGAGGAUGACCAGCCACACGGGAACUGAAACACGGUCCAGACUCCUACGGGAGGCAGCAGUGGGGAAUAUUGCACAAUGGGCGAAGGCCUGAUGCAGCCAUGCCGCGUGUAUGAAGAAGGCCGUCGGGGUGUAAAGUACUUUCAGCGGGGAGGCGUUACCCGCAGAAGAAGCACCGGCUAACUACGUGCCAGCCGCCGCGGUAAUUC
rnacentral:rRNA from 1 species